CAAUGUAAUUAAAAACAUUGUAUUUGGGAUACCGUAGUUGAGGUAGAUGGUAAAAAUAACCGGGGUUCUGUUUAUAAGGUUAGUUUGGGUAAUAUCUGAAACAGUAUCUUGGAACGGAGUGUUGAGAAGUUCGGCACUAGAAGUGAAACUGGGUUGGGAUCUUGUUUUAGGAUAUAGUAUAAAAGUAAGAACUAGAAUAGAGUUGGGUAUUGGUUCAGGAUUGUUGAAUACAACCUUACAAAAAUAAAAAUAAAAAAAUAAACAUAACAUUAAGCUCAUAAAAUAAACCUGGAAAUAAACCUACAACAACACACAAUUUCAUGAAAGAAUAUAGCAAUCUAUAUAGCAUUGCUCUUCCUCUCUAAUGAGUUAUAUUAUAAAGUAGAAGUAGUUGUCAUGUUCCAUAAUAGGCUGCUCAUUCACUAUACUAUCCCAAUGCCCGGCGUGAGUUGAACGGCUACCACAACUACCCUGAGCUGUGGCUAAACGUACAAAGGUGACUCUAAGAAUUCUACCUCUUAAAGUAGGACUUGUGGUCUCUCGUGAUGUUCCUGCAAGAAACACCAGGUUGGGAGUACCAUAACCAGUCUGACGAUUUCAACGGCUAUGGUCUCUAGUUCCACUUCUUCUCUUCUUGACCUUGUACCCCGUAAUUCUGAGCUCAAAAACCUGUAGUUCCUCUGGGGUUCUUUCCUCUGUAGUGUAUACUCUACUAUCGGGCGUUGUUCCUAUACCCGUAGUUGUGACGGUAAGUACUACGUUAACGUGCGUACACGAUAGCAGUAGUAUUACUCGAUUCGUUCUUGUCAAAACCUUUCGAACCUACCGUCUUUCGGCCACCUCGUGUAUAGAAUGACUGCUUCCUCGUUUUCGACUUCAAAAGUGGAGACUGCCACAUAUUGGUUCUGAACCUCGUAAUGUAGUUCUUGGAGGUCUACCUGGAAGAACUUCAGAAGAAGCUAUUCCUUCGUGACGUACUUCUCGAGUUACGGGUUUUCGAUCUCCAUUGGUUCGUACGUUUCCUUCUGGAACUUCAAGCCUUUGAAGUAGUCCUUGACCUCUUGUCGUCCUGGUAUCGAGCAUGGUUUCUACAACUCUAGGUCUUCGAGUUCUUAUUUGAUGUUCUGUAUGACCCUGCGGUGUCCUUUGAGGCAGAGCUGUCUCUAAUAGACCAACUUCUUGACCUCUUAUAGGUUGUGUUCGUCUUGGUUCUAGACCUCUUCAAUCAAAUCAUCAUCUGGUGG
rnacentral:rRNA from 1 species